UCUGGUUGAUCCUGCCAGUAAUAUAUGCUUGUCUCAAAUAUUAAUCCAUGCAUGUCUAAGUAUAAAUAGUAUACCUUAAAACUGCAAAUGGCUCAUUAAAACAGUUAUAGUUUAUUUGAUAAUCAAACGCUACAUGGAUAACCGUGGUAAUUCUAGAGCUAAUACAUGCUGAUAACCCGGCGCAAGUCGCGGUUGUAUUUAUUAGAUAUUAAACCAAUAUGUUAAUAGCAUUUUGAAGGAAUUAUGGUAACUGAUCGAAUCCUCGCUUGUCGAGGAUAAAUCAUUCAAGUUUCUGCCCUAUCAGCUUUCGAUGGUAGUGUAUUGGACUACCAUGGCGAUUACGGGUAACGGAGAAUUAGUGUUCGAUUCCGGAGAGGGAGCCUGAGAAACGGCUACCACAUCUAAGGAAGGCAGCAGGAGCGUAAAUUACCCAAUGUCGACUCGAUGAGCGUAGUGACAAUACAUAACAAAGAGGGGAUUUCAUUAUCUUACUCUAUUGCAAUGAGGCAUGUUUAAUAACCUGUUCGAGCAACCAGUGAAGGGCAAGCCUGGUGCCAGCAGCCGCGGUAAUUCCAGCUUCACGAGUGUAUAUUUAAGUUGUUGCAGUUAAAAAGCUCGUAGUUGAACUUCUUUUUGUUCAGAAGGCGUGCAAGCGCAGUCUGGGCGAAAAUCCGCCUGAAAAAUCAUUCGGGUCUUCACUGAUUCAGUGAUGGAUCAGGCAUUUUACUUUGAAAAAAUUAGAGUGUUCAAAGCAGGCUCACGCCUGAAUACAUUAGCAUGGAAUAAUAGAAUAGGACGCUGUUCAAUUUGUUGGUUAUUGAAUUGCGUAAUGAUUAAUAGGGACAGUUGGGGGCAUUUGUAUUUAAUUGUCAGAGGUGAAAUUCUUGGAUUUAUUAAAGACAAACUUAUGCGAAAGCAUUUGCCAAGGAUGUUUUCAUUAAUCAAGAACGAAAGUUAGAGGAUCAAAGACGAUCAGAUACCGUCCUAGUUUUAACUAUAAACUAUGCCGACUCGGUCUCAGUCAAGUCUUCCUAACUUGAUUGGUGCCGUAUGAGAAAUCAAAGUCUUUGGGUUCCGGGGGGAGUAUGGUCGCAAGGUUGAAACUUAAAGGAAUAGACGGAACAUCACUGCCAGGUGUGGAUCCUGCGGCUUAAUUUGACUCAACACGGGGAAACUUACCAGCGCAAAACAAGGGUGGGAUUGACAGAUUGAGAGCUCUUUCUUGAUUCUUUGGAUAGUGGUGCAUGGCCGUUCUUAGUUGGUGGAGUGAUUUGUCUGCUUAAUUGCGUUAACGAACGAGACCUCAACCUACUUACUAGAC
rnacentral:rRNA from 1 species